UUAAGUUCAGCGGGUAUUCCUACCUGAUCCGAGGUCAACCUUUGGUGAUAAAACACAUGGUUUAGACCAGAGUGGCCGACCACUGAAAUGCGUGCUUUAAAAGCUCGUUGCAUCUAGGGUCCGACACGACUCCGUCAUUGUCUUUGGGACCCGUCCGUGAGGACGAGAUCCAACUGCAAGCUAGGCUUGAGGGUUGAUAA
rnacentral:misc_RNA from 1 species